GCAUGGAAACUAUCUGGCUACAGAGAUAGGAGUCCCAGAAGGAGAUGGGAAACUACAUGGCUGAGAUUGUUCUCUUGUGAAGACAAUGGGUUUUGAAACCAGAUACCAGACUUCAAAUUCAGCCUUUGCUGACUGGCCCACUCACAGUAUUCUCAGACAGGUUACUCAAUUCUCAGAAGAGUCUAUUUUUACCCUUUGAGUUACCUAGUUAACAGCUUCAUACACAGCAGUAUUUCAUGUUCAAUUGUACAUGUUCCUGACAGAGCUGUGUGUGGUGACUGAUCACUCACACAACCUACCUGCUCCCCUGAGUUAGGAUCUGGCCCAGUAACGAGGAUCACAUGGCUCCACUGUGGUCCCCUCAAAAUCUAUCCUGUGCUCCUCCUAGGGAGGCACCUUCUAACUUCUGGUGAAACCAGCUGAGCUGCUAGCCCUGUGGGAUGAGUCUACUACCCUCUCUGGUUUGGAUCUGGUAUAACUUACCCCACAAAGAUCUGACACACAAAUGGCUCUUGGGUAUCCUCCAUCUAAACUCACAGCCUGUUUUGAUUUAAGGAAUUUCUUUAUUGGAAUUCCACUUUACCUCGCCACAAGGAGCUGGCUUUCAUGACAAAGAGAGAGUGAGCCCUGAACAAAGUAUUUGUUAACAUUUUACAACAGACAACAUAUACAUGUCCUGCAUGACAUCUUUACAAUAACACAUUCCAAAAACAAUCAAACAUUUAACAGGAUUAUUAAGAAACAUUAAUUUCCUUCUCUCUAGAUGACUGGUACUUUAGCUUUUUAGCUUCUGCAAUAAAAUGCGUUCCUUCUCAGCAUUUCUAUUCAUAGGAAUCCCUGAAUCACUUCUGUCAUGUAAGGUGUGAAUUCAUGUUGACGGUGUGUUCCAUUAGUUACUGAAUGUGUCAAAAUCCUCUCCACGGUAGAACCUUUUAUUGUAGCAUAAUGUGUGAAUACCACUUCCAGGUUAUCCCUCAUCACAAAUUCAUCAUUCAUUAUGGGAGUUCAUCUGAAACUUUAAAAAAGUUUCAUUCAUUCAACUAAUGGAUCACAAUAGUACGUUCAUCAAUUUGCAUUUUUUAUGAGUGACUCUCUCCUAUCUCCUGUUAGACUUGUAAGUCUAUGCUUUCUACUUUUCCUAAAAGGAAAUCCAAAUUUUGUUUCAGAAGUCAUCAUCACUGCCCCCUCCCAAACCAAUUACAUCAAGUUUAUACUUAAAGACCACUAAUAUUAAAUAAAUUUAUAUUCCCUGAAACCUAUCCUCCCUGAAUUUGCCUGUUGGAGGCCCUUAGUUUUCCCACUGACCAAUGUGUAAUUGGGAUUCAAAGCUGUACCUGAAUUUCCUACAUUUCUAGUAACAGAAUUUACCAAACAUGAACUUUCUGAUGGUGAUUACGUAACUUCUAAUUGAAGUCCUUUCCUCAUCUGUGUUUUAUGUCCAGAAAUGUCUACUGAUUUUGAAGAUUUGCUUCACAUUCCAUCACUCAGAUCUAAGUUUCUCUCUCAAGUAUGGACUGUUUUAUAUCCUGUAAGAGCUGAACUACCUUGACACUGGAGCCUUUCUUGCUUGCUAUGAUUGAAAAUCACAUAGAAAGGGUUCCUCAUAAUCCUCUAGGAUGGUUUCAUUUACACUGUGUAAAUUACAAGCCAUGACCCCCUACAUUCUUACAUUCAUAAGGUAUUUCUUCCAUUUGAGUUCGGAGAGACUUGGUAAGCUCUGCCUGCUACAGAGGCAUCCUCAUCCUGCCCCCAUCCAGGGCAUUCCCUCCCUCAUAGGUUCUCUUCUGGGAUGUGCCACUAUAACUUCCCACAUAUAUCACAUUUAAAGAUUCCUCUCCAGUAUGGGUUCUUUUAUGCUUGGUGAGAUUUGAUCUGAUAUUAAAAGCCUUACCACACUCAUUACAUCGGUAUGGCUUCUUUCCAGUGUGGAUCCUUUUGUGCUGGUCAAGGACUGAUCUAUAAUUGAAGGAUUUCCCACACUCACAAUUAUAGGGCUGCUUCCCCUGGUGGACACUUUUAUGAUUGAUAAGACUUGAGUGUGAGAUGUAUGCCUUCCCACACUCAUCACAUUCAUAGGGUUUCUCACCUGUGUGGAUCCUUUUAUGCACUGUGAGGCCUGAGCUGUUCCUGAAGGCCUUCCCACACCUAUCACACACAUAGGGUUUCUCCCCUGUGUGGAUCCUCUUGUGCUGAGAAAGGAGAGAGCUGUAACUGAAAGAUUUCCCACACUCAACACACUUGAAGGGUUUCUCCCCAAGAUGGACUCUUUUAUGGCUUAUAAGAGUUCUGCUUGAGAAAAAAGCUUUUCCACAUUCAUCACAUGUAUGGGGUGUCUUGCCAGGGUGGGUACUCUUAUGGUUAAUAAGGCUUGAGUGUGAGAUGUAGGAUUUUCCACAUUCAUCACAUUUACAGUUCUUCUCCCCAGAAUGGGUGCUUUUGUGGUUUAUAAGGCUGGAGUAGGACAUGUAGGCUUUCCCACAUUCCUCACACUUGUACGGCUUCUCCCCAGUGUGGAUCCGUUUGUGGACCCGAAGGCUCGAGCUGCUCCGGAAAGUCCCUCCACAGUCAUCACAUUCAUAGCGCUUUUCCCCAGUGUGCAUAAUUUUAUGUUGAACAAGGCGGGAAUUAUAUUUGAAGGAUUUCCCACAUUCAUCACAUUUAUGUGAUUUCUUAACAGCAUUGGUUUUCUGCUGUAGACUAGGGUAGGAGGUUCCAUUAAUGUUCUCCACACGUUUGCCUUGCUCACUGCCUCUCUGUCCUAUAGGCAUAGUCUGGUGUGUGAUAUGCUGUGGGCUCAGAUGCAAGCUCUUCUCAGAUGCCUCACCUUCCUGUUCUGUCUUUAUAUUUGCUGUACUCUUGGCUUUGCUGAUUGCUUCCCUGAUGCUGCUUUUGUCUUCCUUCAUCCUGUUUUCCACAGGCUCUUUCUGCUGAUUCUCUACCUUGCUAUCCCAAACACAUGUGUCACCAACCUUAGAUUCAGGCAUAGGAUCCUCCACUUUUGGCCACUUAGAUGCUGCAUUUCCAACAUUUUCAUAUUCUUCAGUU
rnacentral:lncRNA from 1 species